rnacentral:rRNA from 1 species
AGUGAACGCUGGCGGUAGGCCUAACACAUGCAAGUCGAACGGCAGCACAGUAAGAGCUUGCUCUUACGGGUGGCGAGUGGCGGACGGGUGAGGAAUACAUCGGAAUCUACUUUUUCGUGGGGGAUAACGUAGGGAAACUUACGCUAAUACCGCAUACGACCUACGGGUGAAAGCAGGGGAUCUUCGGACCUUGCGCGAUUGAAUGAGCCGAUGUCGGAUUAGCUAGUUGGCGGGGUAAAGGCCCACCAAGGCGACGAUCCGUAGCUGGUCUGAGAGGAUGAUCAGCCACACUGGAACGGAGACACGGUCCAGACUCCUACGGGAGGCAGCAGUGGGGAAUAUUGGACAAUGGGUGCAAGCCUGAUCCAGCCAUACCGCGUGGGUGAAGAAGGCCUUCGGGUUGUAAAGCCCUUUUGUUGGGAAAGAAAAGCAGCAGGCUAAUACCCCGCUGUUCUGACGGUACCCAAAGAAUAAGCACCGGCUAACUUCGUG